GAUGAACGCUGGCGGCGUGCCUAAUACAUGCAAGUAGAACGCUGAAGGAGGAGCUUGCUCUUCUGGAUGAGUUGCGAACGGGUGAGUAACGCGUAGGUAACCUGCCUGGUAGCGGGGGAUAACUAUUGGAAACGAUAGCUAAUACCGCAUGACAACAGUUAUUGCAUGAUAACUGUUUAAAAGGGGCAACUGCUCCACUACCAGAUGGACCUGCGUUGUAUUAGCUAGUUGGUGAGGUAACGGCUCACCAAGGCGACGAUACAUAGCCGACCUGAGAGGGUGAUCGGCCACACUGGGACUGAGACACGGCCCAGACUCCUACGGGAGGCAGCAGUAGGGAAUCUUCGGCAAUGGACGGAAGUCUGACCGGGCAACGCCGCGUGAGUGAAGAAGGUUUUCGGAUCGUAAAGCUCUGUUGUAAGAGAAGAACGAGUGUGAGAGUGGAAAGUUCACACUGUGACGGUAUCUUACCAGAAAGGGACGGCUAACUACGUG
rnacentral:rRNA from 1 species